rnacentral:rRNA from 1 species
UGACCUCGGAUCAGGUAGGAAUACCCGCUGAACUUAAGCAUAUCAAUAAGCGGAGGAAAAGAAACCAACAGGGAUUGCCCUAGUAACGGCGAGUGAAGCGGCAACAGCUCAAAUUUGAAAUCUGGCUACUUUGUAGUCCGAGUUGUAAUUUGUAGAGGAUGCUUUUGGUGAAGUGCUUUCUGAGUUCCCUGGAACGGGACGCCAGAGAGGGUGAGAGCCCCGUACAGUUAGCAACUGAUCCUUUGUAUAGCUCCUUCGACGAGUCGAGUAGUUUGGGAAUGCUGCUCUAAAUGGGAGGUAUAUCUCUUCUAAAGCUAAAUAUAGGCUAGAGACCGAUAGCGCACAAGUAGAGUGAUCGAAAGAUGAAAAGCACUUUGAAAAGAGAGUUAAACAGCACGUGAAAUUGUUGAAAGGGAAGCGCCUAUGACCAGACUUGUCUCUAUCAGUUUUGGUAGUUUUCGGACUGCUUUACUCUGUUAGUACAGGCCAACAUCAGUUUGUUGUCGGGGAGAAAGGCUUAGGGAAUGUGGCUCCCUCGGGAGUGUUAUAGACCUUUGCAUAAUACCCUUCGGCAGA